GACGAACGCUGGCGGCGUGCUUAACACAUGCAAGUCGAACGGAAAGGCCCUGCUUUUGUGUGGUUCUCGAAUGGCGAACGGGUGAGUAACACGUGAGUAACCUGCCCUUGACUUUGGGAUAACUUCAGGAAACUGGGGCUAAUACCAGAUAGGAGCUCCUGCUGCAUGGUGGGGGGUGGAUAGUUUCGGCGGUUGGGGAUGGACUCGCGGCUUAUCAGCUUGUUGGUGGGGUAGUGGCUUACCAAGGCUUUGACGGGUAGCCGGCCUGAGAGGGUGACCGGCGACAUUGGGACUGAGAUACGGCCCAGACUCCUACGGGAGGCAGCAGUGGGGAAUAUUGCACAAUGGGCGGAAGCCUGAUGCAGCAACGCCGCGUGCGGGAUGACGGCCUUCGGGUUGUAAACCGCUUUCGCCUGUGACGAAGCGUGAGUGACGGUAAUGGGUAAAGAAGCACCGGCUAACUACGUG
rnacentral:rRNA from 1 species